AUUGAACGCUGGCGGCAGGCCUAACACAUGCAAGUCGAGCGGAGCGGCGGAAGGGUGAGUAAUGCCGAGGAAUCUGCCUGGUCGUGGGGGAUCACGUACGGGAACAGGCGCUAAUACCGCAUGCUAUCAGAUGAGCAUAGGUCGGAUUAGCUAGUUGGUGGGGUAACGGCCUACCAAGGCGACGAUCCGUCACUGGUCUGAGAGGAUGAUCAGUCAAACUGGAACGGAGACACCGUCCAGAAUCCUACGGGAGGCAGCAGUGGGGAAUAUUGGACAAUGGGCGAAAGCCUGAUACAGCCAUGCCGCGUGUGUGAAGAAGGUCUUCGGAUUGUAAAGCACUUUAAGUUGGGAGGCGUUACCAACAGAAUAAUCACCGGCUAACUUCGUGCCAGCAGCCGCGGUAAUUC
rnacentral:rRNA from 1 species